GACGAACGCUGGCGGCGUGCCUAAUACAUGCAAGUAGAACGCUGAAGGAGGAGCUUGCUUCUCUGGAUGAGUUGCGAACGGGUGAGUAACGCGUAGGUAACCUGCCUGGUAGCGGGGGAUAACUAUUGGAAACGAUAGCUAAUACCGCAUAAGAGUAGAUGUUGCAUGACAUUUGCUUAAAAGGUGCAAUUGCAUCACUACCAGAUGGACCUGCGUUGUAUUAGCUAGUUGGUGGGGUAACGGCUUACCAAGGCGACGAUACAUAGCCGACCUGAGAGGGGGGUAGGCCACCCUGGGAAUGGGACACGGCCCAGACUCCUACGGGAGGCAGCAGUAGGGAAUCUUCGGCAAUGGACGGAAGUCUGACCGAGCAACGCCGCGUGAGUGAAGAAGGGUUUCGGAUCGGAAAGCUCUGUUGUAAGAGAAGAACGAGUGUGAGAGUGGAAAGUUCACAAUGUGACGGUAUCUUAACAGAAAGGGACGGCUAACUACGUG
rnacentral:rRNA from 1 species